rnacentral:lncRNA from 1 species
CACAAAACAGAAACUUGAAACUAAACAGAUUGUAAAAAAACGAUUUUUGGUGAAAUAGAUGGAUAAAAGGCUAGUUAGGAGGUUCUUCUCCACACAUGUCACACUUGCAAACAAAACGAUUUUCAGUUGUUCUUCCAAUAAACUAUGAAUACUCAACGCCCCAAGUUAACCGUGAAUUGCACUAAUUAACCCUCAGUUUCUCCAGAAUUUAUCAAGUUGGA